AGAGUUUGAUCCUGGCUCAGGACGAACGCUGGCGGCGCGCUUAACACAUGCAAGUCGAGCGAGAACCGGGGCUUCGGCCCCGGGGACAGCGGCGAACGGGUGAGUAACACGUGGGUAACCUGCCCUCGGCACCGGGAUAGCCCGAGGAAACUCGGAUUAAUACCGGAUUGCCCCUCCGACCUUCGGGUCGGUUGGGAAAGGUAGCUUCGGCCUCCGGCCGAGGAUGGGCCCGCGGCGGAUUAGCUUGUUGGUGGGGUAACGGCUCACCAAGGCUCCGAUCCGUAGCUGGUCUGAGAGGACGAUCAGCCACACUGGGACUGAGACACGGCCCAGACUCCUACGGGAGGCAGCAGUGGGGAAUCUUGCGCAAUGGGCGAAAGCCUGACGCAGCGACGCCGCGUGGGGGA
rnacentral:rRNA from 1 species